AACGAACGCUGGCGGCAGGCUUAACACAUGCAAGUCGAGCGCCCCGCAAGGGGAGCGGCAGACGGGUGAGUAACGCGUGGGAAUCUACCCAUCUCUACGGAAUAACGCAUGGAAACGUGUGCUAAUACCGUAUACGUCCUUCGGGAGAAAGAUUUAUCGGAGAUGGAUGAGCCCGCGUUGGAUUAGCUAGUUGGUGGGGUAAAGGCCUACCAAGGCGACGAUCCAUAGCUGGUCUGAGAGGAUGAUCGGCCACACUGGGACUGAGACACGGCCCAGACUCCUACGGGAGGCAGCAGUGGGGAAUAUUGGACAAUGGGCGCAAGCCUGAUCCAGCCAUGCCGCGUGAGUGAUGAAGGCCCUAGGGUUGUAAAGCUCUUUCACCGGUGAAGAUAAUGACGGUAACCGGAGAAGAAGCCCCGGCUAACUUCGUGCCAGCCGCCGCAGUAUAC
rnacentral:rRNA from 1 species